rnacentral:misc_RNA from 1 species
UCUCCGUAGGUGAACCUGCGGAGGGAUCAUUACAGAGUUCAUGCCCUAACGGGUAGAUCUCCCACCCUAUGUUAUCAUCACUUUGUUGCUUUGGCGGGCCGUCAGGCCUCGGCUUGGCUACCGGCUCUCGCUGGUAAGCGCCCGCCAGAGAACCUCAAACCCUGAAUAUCAGUGUCGUCUGAGUACUAUAUAAUAGUUAAAACUUUCAACAACGGAUCUCUUGGUUCUG